rnacentral:lncRNA from 1 species
GUGUGUGAUUCUCCCAAAGGAUGAGCCUUUCUCAAGGGGGGAAACUGUCAGAACCAUCACACACACAAUAUGUCUACACCUUUGCUUGUGAGGUCUCUGCGUGUGCUUGUAUCACACAUCUGCUACUUAGCUGAAUGAGGGCAGAGCACGGCUUUAGGUCACCUUGGCUCUGCCUUAAGGGAAGCUGCCUUGAGGACCAGUAUUCUUAAUAUACGGAAAGACUAUUUCCCAAGAAGGAAGGACACUUCUGAGUACUCUCCCUUACACACUCCACUUGCUUCUAGGAUCAUGGGGGUUCGUGUAAAUCUGUAUCCAGAACCUUCUUCUCUGCCACUGAGGAUUCUCAUGCACCCCCUUUACUGGUGGUGUGGGUUGUGGCAUGCUUCCUCCAGGUAGUCCCACCUCCCAAAGCACUGGUGACAUAAACUCCAGCUGGAGACACGAGAAAAGCUAGCCAGCUCAACAAGAAAGGAGAGGAGCAGAUGUAGCAGAGCCUGGAGGUGUAGGUUCCAAAAAGGAUGACCUUUUCCAUGAGUAAAGGGAAUAUAACCCAUGUCUUCCCUCUGUACAUGGGGCAACUAGUAUGCUGGUACAAUGGAGAGAAGCAGAUGCUUUCUCAUGAAGCUCAGCUCUCUAGAGAUUAUCCACAUAGGUCCUGCCACAGUCUAUUGGCAGUUCGUGUGGGGCUGGACCAGACAAAAUGCUCCACAGCAAAACUGCAUUUAGCAUAAAGAAAUAACCCCAGCCGGCUGAAGACUUCUCAGCAAAGAAUGGCCCCAAAGGGAAAAGACUUGAAGCCAGUCAAAAGAAGGGUGUAUUGAAAAUGCCUUCUGCUGUUUGAAACCGUGAUUCAGCUAAAAUGGGGUGUUUGUGCUUUCUGGGUCUCAAUACAGAAAAAGACAUCCUAGCUGCGUCUUGGGCACAGAAGAGUGGGAUCAUGGUGCCAUUCAUAGCCAAGGGCUACUGUUGGUAAGCAUGGCUCAUAACCUUGGCCAGACAGAGAAGCCUCACCACAAGGUCACAUAUUCAAAGACUGGUGUGUAUAUGUGUAUGCAUACGCAGGAAUGUGUAUAGGAACACAGACAUCCAGGAACCCAGUUAAUUCUUUCUUACUAUUGGACCAAAAGAUCACAGGAGGAAGAAAGCCAUCCUUCCAGUAGAAGUGAUGUUAGGUCUAAAUCCCAGGUCAUGAGUGAGGCAUGGAGACUCAGCUGAGAAGUAAUCAAGACCAUGAGAUAUUUGGGGGUGUUUCUGUGGUCCAGGGCUGAAAGACUUACCAAUUUUUUUUUCUCACAUCGUAGAACUGGAGAAAGGAAAUCUGCUUCGCAGACCUCAGACAAGGGCCACAAGAACAUGUACACUGCAAAUGGUUAUAUUAUACAUCACCUGACAACCUCACAUCAGAUAAAGGGGUCCUCGCUCCGCACAGCAAGGGAGAAAAAAAUAUUCAUCGGAGUUCGCUCGACCCCAGUCGCAUUUUCUUUCUCCGCUGCACAUCAAUGCGUGUAAACACGGCUUCGGAGCGGCUGCCCACUUUCUGUGUUCGUCUUCUCUUUUUCAGCAAAGCAAUAGGCAGUAGACAAGAAUGUUACACCGCUAGGAGAAUCCGUUUAAGCGUGUGUUUGAGGUAAACCCUCCUAAUUAAGUCAACUUUAACACAGACACGCAAAUGGCACCCUGCAUAUGUGUCUGGCGCCUAAUAUUGGCUGCUGAGCCCAAAGGAAGUCAGGCAGCAGCAGGGCCGAGGAGACAGUUUAUACGUUCAGCCUCUCCUUCCUUUAACCUUUCUACUAGAAAACUGUUUGUGUGGUGGGGGCUGGGCGGGCAGCUUCCCACUCGGGCUAGUGCCUGAAUCAGUGAGGCUAAGAUGCAGAUGCUCAGACUUUGCUCCGAUGCUCACAGCGUUUCUGGGUCCAUCUUGCCCAAGGAAAACAUGUGAUGAGUUUGAAUGACUGAAAGCCAAAGGAAGAAAGAAUCCAGCUUUGAAGCUCUGUAUAGCCUCGGGUUUCUCCAUUGAGGAGCAUACCAGAGAGCUUCAUCAAGAACAUUCCAGAGGGCUUUAUCUUAUAUGGACUAGAACUUGGUGGGGUAACGUGGGGAGAAUAACAUUUGUAAUGCUUUACCAAGCUGGCAUUUUAGGAGACUUAAGUAGUUAGCAAUUGGAACAUCAAUGUUUUUGGUGGCCCCAAGUGACACAUAAAAGGAAUAACUUUCCCUCAAUUGCUGUUGAGGGACUGCUAGAGGGUCAGUUACUCUGGGCUAAGAGUGAAUGGGAAAAGUCCUGUUAGGUGAUCUAGUUAGACAUCAUUCGUUCUUCCAGACUUACAGAGUAUAGCAGUCAGACAUCAUUAGCUCAUCCAGACCUACACAGAAUAGCAAUCAGACAUCAUUAGUUCAUCCAGACAUAUUGACUGUAACAAUUAGAUGUCUUGUCACCCUGUCAGAACCACUGGCAACCCAAAUGUAGAGUAAGACUUAAAAAGGUAAAAUAAAAAAUCUCCAGAAGUGUUGUGUACUGGCUGGUUUGGUGGGUCAACUUGACACAAGUUAGAGUCAUCAGAGAGGAAGGAGCCUCAGCUGAGAAGAUGCCUCCACGAGAUUCAGUUAUGGGGCAUUUUCUCAAUUAGUAAUCAGUGGAGCUCAGCCUAUUGUGGUGCCAUCCCUGGCUGGUGGAUAUAGGUUCCAUAAGAAGCAGGCUGAGCAAGCCAUGUGAAGCAAGCCAGUAAACAGCACCUAUCCAUGGCCUCUGCAUUAGCUCCUGCCUCCAGGUUCCUGCCCUGCUUGAGUUCCUGCCCUGCAUGUGUUAAUCAUUGUUACUAAUCUCUUCCUGAGCCUAGUUUAUAGUUAGUUUAAUAGAACAACAUUUGUGUAGAAAAAUAGAACAUAUUCAGUGUUAUUUUUGGUUUCAGGCAUCCAUUAAGAUCUUGAGAACUGUGUCCUGAAGAUAAGGAGAAACCACUAUAUGUAAAACCAAACCACAGCGUCUUAGUCAGGGUUUCUAUUGCUGUGACGAAACACCAUGACCAAAAAAGCAAGUUGGGGAGGAAGAAGUUUGUUUGGCUUACACUUUCAGUAUUGGAUUGUAAUACAAUGUACGAGAGUCUCUUACUCCCUCCCUUCUCUCUAUAUUUUGAUACUUUUCCAGGGGAGACUGUUUCUAUUUAUCUCAGACAGAAAGGACAAUAAAAAGACCAAGUAAAAUAAUUCCCUUCUAAAUCCAGCAUAGAGAUCCUGCCUAUCCAGGCCAUGGUAUAAUAUGAUAUAUAAUUUGGCACAGAUGUCCUUCGCAAGCCUUGAAGAAAGGCAGACUAGAAUGAACACUGAGGGGAUCUACUGGUGCCUGUUCUUCAUGCAUCCCAAGUUCUCAUGAGAGGGAAGCUAGAGCACCUAAGACUGGUGUUGUGAGCUGGGGAAUAGGUGCAGAAGAGAUUGACAGCCAGGCUGGUAGACAAUGCCAAGCAAUGUGGUUUAGGAAGGAGGAAGGCUGGAACCCUGGUUUUGAUGAGUUCCUCAGGCCAUCUUCCCAGUUGAACCCAUGACACAGGUGUUAAAAAAAACUGAAAACUGCCAAGAAAGGAGCCAUUGCUCUAGGAUCCUAUGAAGACAUAUCAGACUUAAACAAUAACGUUGCUAUGUUGGUUUUACUAUUUGAUACUUUUGGUCAGUUUUUAUAUUGAAGGUUCCCACUUUCAUAGUUUUGAUUGUUAUCCAAAAGAAUUAAAUGGUAAGUUCCAGAAAUAAAUAGUACAUACGUUUUUAACUGUGCUCUGAUCUCAGGAGUCAGGAGUCAGUGUGAUUGUGAAGGUUAACCUCCGUUGUCAGGUUCACUGCACCUGAAAUCAACUAAAAUGCUCAUCUAAAGUGCAAACAUCCUGGCACACCUAUCUGUGAAGGAGUCUCUUGAUUGGAUCAUUUGAGGCUGGAAGACCCACCCUAAAUAUAGAUUGAUAUUAGAACACCUUCCCUAAAUCUGGGCCACAUCUUCUAGGGACAGCCCACAUAAAAGGACACGGAAGAAGGAAGCUUUUGCAUUUUGCCUGCUUUCCCUCAUUCUCCAAAACAAGUUCAUCUACCCUGCUGCUGAGACUUUAACUUUGCUGGUGUUAGAACCUGAUCCUUUGGGAUUCCAAUGUGGACAAGAACAGCCGAGACAUCUUGUGAAUGGAAUGGCAACCAAGUUCUUGACCUUCCUAAAGGGAGAGAGCCAUUGUUGGACAAGAGCAACCACAGACUAUAAGUCACCUCUUUUUUUUUUUAAUUAAUUUAUUUUUUUACACUCCAUGUUUUAUUCCAGCCCCCACCAGCCACCCUCUGAGCGUGCCACAUCCCUGACCUCCUCCCCACCCU